GGGUUUAAUCCAGCUUGAUGUAUCCCUUUAAAAUAAAAUUUUUAAAAAAUAGCAUUUUUUCCAUUAGCUCUUUCAGGAGACUUUCAUAACAACAUCCUGUGGCCUGAGGCCUGCCGCAGAUACACCCUGUUUUGUUUUGUAUUUCCCUGUUCCAGCUCGCCUAGUGUGGAAUUGUUUUUGCAAGGAUCAGCAUGGAAACACACCCAAAUGCUUCUUGCAGUGAGAAGAGAGAAAUUCAUACAUAAUAUCAUUGUAAUUUGUAAUAAUGACUGGAAUGGAAAAUAUUAGGGUUGCAGGAAUUAAUGUAAAGAUUAAUUUACUGUUGUAUCCUUAGCCGAGUCAGACAAGUUCAGAGGGUUUGUCUACAUUUAGAUUCUUUGAAAGUCUGUCAAAAAUGUUCUGCCUGUCUUUCUGUCUGUAUUAUCUAUAUGUCUGUCCAGGGUUGGUGCAAGGAUUUUUGGUUACACAGGCGAAGAUGCAUUUUGUUGCCCCACUCCCCCACCAAAAAAAAUGCAUCUUCACCUUUGUGUCUCGUAGCCCCCUUUUUGAAUUUCUUACCCUCUAGUGCUUCAUAUCCCCUCUCUUGAAUGUCUUACCCUUUUUGCUCCAUUGUUUCUUACACCCCCUUAGUGUGUCUCUUACAACCCCUCUUGUGUAUUUCUUACUUCCCCACCAGCCACUUUCUGUGUCUAAUUAUUCCUCCAGCCCCUUUCCGUCUCUUUCUCCCCCCGACCCAUUUCUGUCUCUAUCUCCCAUACAAACAUCAAUAAAUGGGCAAAAAUACAUAUAUGCACAGACACAAAAUAGAGACACACAAUCACAGAGGCACAUAGAGAUAGUUAUUAAGGCACACAGUGACAAAGAUAUACAGAAAUGCAAUCAAACAAACACAGACAUACAGACACAUAGUCAUACAAUUUACACUUACAGGCAAACUGUCAUAUACAUGCAGACAGACUGUAAUACAGUGACAUACAGACACAGUUAUACAGAGACAUAAAGACACAAGCAGUCACACAUGCAGUCACAAGUACAUAUUUACAUCUCAGGCCAGUGUUUGUGCAUUUGAAUGUAAGCAUAUUUUUGUAUAAAGUAUGGAGUAUGUUUGUGUGAAUGUAGGGGUGUGCCUGUGUAUAGUGUUGACAUUUGAAUGCAGCGGUGUCUUUGUAUGUAGUGUUGGCGUUUGACUGCUGAGAUGUAUGCACAUUUAGACAAACACUGCCAUACACACUGUGAUACACAUACACACAGAUGCACACACUGACAUACAUGCAGAUACACUGACACACAUGCAGAUACACAUACACACAUAUAUAUAUAUAUAUAUAAACUGGUACAUAUACAG